GUAAAAGCGUAACAAGGUUUCCGUAGGUGAACCUGCGGAAGGAUCAUUACUGAAUUGUUGACACGAGUUGUUGCUGGUCCCCAAACGGGGGCAUGUGCACGCUCUGUUUACACAUCCACUCACACCUGUGCACCCAACGUAGUUCUAUGGCUUGGGGGACUCUGUCCCCCCUGCUGUGGUUCUACACCUUUACACACACCCUGUAAUAAAGUCUUAUGGAAUGCAUGCCGCGUUUAACGCAAUACAAUACAACUUUCAGCAACGGAUCUCUUGGCUCUCGCAUCGAUGAAGAACGCAGCGAAAUGCGAUAAGUAAUGUGAAUUGCAGAAUUCAGUGAAUCAUCGAAUCUUUGAACGCACCUUGCGCCCUUUGGCUAUUCCGAAGGGCAUGCCUGUUUGAGUAUCAUGAACACCUCAACUCUCAUGGCUUGCCAUGAUGAGCUUGGACUUUGGGGGUCUUGCUGGCCUGCGGUCGGCUCCUCUCAAAUGAAUCAGCUUUCCAGUGUUUGGUGGCAUCACGGGUGUGAUAAAUAUCUACGCUUGUGGUUUCCUGCCAGGUAACCUUCAGUGAUGGAGGUUCACUGGGGCUCAUAAAUGUCUCUCCUCAGCGAAGACAGCUUUGUAAAUGUUUGAUC
rnacentral:rRNA from 1 species